rnacentral:rRNA from 1 species
UACAGAGGUCUCAAGCGUUGUUCGGAUUCAUUGGGCGUAAAGGGUGCGUAGGUGGCGGGGUAAGUCAGGUGUGAAAUCUCGGGGCUCAACCCCGAAACUGCACUUGAUACUGCCUUGCUCGAGUACUGGAGAGGAGAUUGGAAUUUACGGUGUAGCAGUGAAAUGCGUAGAUAUCGUAAGGAAGACCAGUGGCGAAGGCGAAUCUCUGGACAGUUACUGACACUGAGACGCGAAAGCCAGGGGAGCGAACGGG